rnacentral:rRNA from 1 species
UAAUACGUAGGCAGCAAGCGUUGUUCGGAAUUACUGGGCGUAAAGAGUAUGUAGGUGGUGUCCUAAGUUUGGUGUGAAAUCUCCUGGCUCAACUGGGAGGGUGCGCCGAAAACUGGGAUGCUUGAGUGUGGGAGAGGAAAGCGGAAUUCCUGGUGUAGCGGUGAAAUGCGUAGAUAUCAGGAGGAACACCUGUGGUGUAGACGGCUUUCUGGACCAUAACUGACACUGAGAUACGAAAGCGUGGGUAGCAAACAGGAUUAGAUACCCUGGUAGUCCACGCCCUAAACGAUGCACACUUGGUGUGAGCCAUUCACUUGGUUCGUGCCGAAGCUAACGCGUUAAGUGUGCCGCCUGGGGAGUACGGUCGCAAGGCUG